CUGGAAAAAACCCGUAUUUAUCUGGAACGUAAUAUAAUUCCGGAAUUCAAAAAGACGAAAACUGUAUUUAUCUGCAGGAGCUUAUAUAUAUAUUGGUUAUCAACGUAAUACAUUUAUUUGCUUGUUACUUUGGCUUUUAUUUUGAUUUCACCAUUCAUUUGUGGCCGGUUUGUGUUGUUUUGUAACGUUAUUAGUUUCGUUUGUAGACAUUUUGUAUUUAUCGCCGGAACGUAUUCAUCCGAAAUUCCGGACCGAACAUGCCUGAAAUCUAAAAAUCUAAAAGCAGUAUUUGUUCAGAAAGUUUAAUUCUGAAAUUAGUAUUUUAAGCAAUAUAGUAAUGGCAAUUAUGAAUUACGGAAUUAUACAUUCUGGACAAAUAUAGUUUUUGAUUUUUAUUUUCCGGGCGAAUAUGGUCUGUGGUAAUACUUUCCAGAUUGUUGUUUAGUCGUGGUAUCAUCUUUAUGAAAU